rnacentral:tRNA from 3 species
GGCGGACGUAGCCAAGUGGAUUAAGGCAGUGGAUUGUGGAUCCUCCAUGCGCGGGUUCAAUUCC